GCUGUUGAUAAUUUUGGUGAAGGUGGUCGUCAAACCAUGAUAGGUAUUUGCAUAAGAAAAGAUUCCUCAGUGAGUCAAAUUUCCUGGAAAGUUUAGGCAUGAGGACGAACCGCGCAUUGCAAGUUUGCAACCAAAACCUACCUUGAUAUUUACAACUGCAAAAACUAAUGUAAAUACAUCAAGCAUUUUAACAAACGGUAACUCAACUUGCAUCUCUAAUGGUUUAAUAUAUUUAGACAUUCAAUUAAAAGUAAACGUCAGAUGUAAAGGGCAGAAUUGGUACA
rnacentral:misc_RNA from 1 species